rnacentral:misc_RNA from 1 species
UUAUUUAUUUAUUUAUUUUUACAAGUCUUUAGUUUUUAGACAUAAAUGAUGACUUUUUGAUUCCCACUUUGGUAAGUAUCGUCAGCGUAUUCAGGGUAAUUGACGGUGACUACAGACAGAUUGUGGUGAUUGAAUUUAAGCUGAAACCUCCCCACUUUGUGAAAUCCAAUGUCAAGUUUUACACAAUUGUACAAUUAUCGAUCUAUCAUCUGCACAAAAGUUCAAAGAAUGCCUCAAGCACAACUUCUAUGCUGGUCGUGUUUUUAUUUUAAGGUGUAAAGGUUCUGGAGUUGAGUUGUGAAUUGUGAUGAAAGACUGGUACAUGGAAGGAAUUCAGUUGGGCCUCAAAUGCGUUGGAUGAAACUGAUUGUUUGUGCUGGCUCUGCUUGUUUAAAAUUCGAGAUUAUUUAAAUACAAAGAGUAACUGACAUAUAGACUCAUUCGCCUUCAGAAAGCAUAUUCAAAUAAAAAUCACAUGACAAUUAGAGGAUUGAAAUGAUUUGAUGUAACUAUGAAUUACUUGCAUGUGGCUGUUUGAAAAUGGUAUGUUUAGCGUUUAAAAUAAAGCUUAUUGCUCUAUGUGCCUACUAAACUUGGUAAACUUCAUUGACUUUGCUCUCCCUGAUUUUUCGUUUCGAGUAAUCACAAUUCCUCACCAUUUAAAAAGAAGGUGUGAAAUACACAGUUGAUUCUAAUUUCUCAAUGAAUUUUGUGUGAAGCAUUUCAAGUGCUGAAGUUUUAAAAUUUUGGCAGGCGCAUGGGUUGCUUGUCUAGA